rnacentral:rRNA from 1 species
UGGGGAAUAUUGCACAAUGGGGGAAACCCUGAUGCAGCGACGCCGCGUGAGCGAAGAAGGUUUUCGAAUCGUAAAGCUCUGUCCUAUGGGAAGAUAAUGACGGUACCAUAGGAGGAAGCCCCGGCUAACUACGUGCCAGCAGCCGCGGUAAUACGUAGGGGGCAAGCGUUGUCCGGAAUCACUGGGCGUAAAGGGUUCGCAGGCGGAAAUGCAAGUCAGUUGUGAAAGGCAGAGGCUCAACCUCUGUAAGCAAUUGAAACUGUAUUUCUUGAGAUGUGGAGAGGAAAGUGGAAUUCCUAGUGUAGCGGUGAAAUGCGUAGAUAUUAGGAAGAAUACCGGUGGCGAAGGCGACUUGCUGGACACAAACUGACGCUGAGGAACAAAAGCGUGGGUAGCAAACAGG